AGGCAAUGAGGUGCCCUUGGUACUUCCUGGAUCCAUGGGAGACACGUGGAUGAAUCCAGAGGUCUGUUCCUUGUUCACAUGGGAUGCAUCUGUGUCUCAUCAAGGACCAGAAAGGAGGAGGCACCAUGAUUAUCACAUGGAUUUUGAACCCUACCCGGAGACUCUGUAAAACCCCAGAAGAGGUUUCUCAGAGCCUUAAUAUAUUAAUGCACACCUUUAAUUUCAAAGAAGUUGGAUGGCCAGUCUUUCUCCAGUUUCUUUGGACAAAAGUGAUUACUUCCUGGAAACAUGCCUGGUGUGCACAUCUGCUUUUCAUCCUCAUCUCCCACCUUCUGCCCAGGUGGAUCUUCCUCCCCAACCAUCAGACAGCACUGGGCUAUUUUCACAUUUGCUGGUCACUUGGAGAAGACUUGGCAAAUCUCAGUGAAAGCAGGUUUGAGGAAAGAAGCCCGCAGACUCAUUUAUUUCAGUUGGUACAACAUCUUAUAUAGCCAAGACCAGCCAAUCCGGUCAAGGGGCAGUCUAUGCCCCAACCAAUCACAGCCUGUUGCCAGGAAGUUUCCAAUGCCAUCCAAUCACAGCCUGUUGUCAGGCAGGCUCCAUUGCCAGGUGGGAUUCAAAACCAUCCAAUCAUAGCCUGUUGUCAGGCAGGCUCCAUUGCUAGGUGGGAUUCAAAGCCAUCCAAUCACAGCCUGUUGCCAGGCAGGCUCCAUUGCCAGGUGGGUUUCAAAGCCAUUCCUGAGUAACUGAUGCUCGCUUGCCAGUGGCCACCUUGGCAUGGCCUUCUCAUUCCACCACAGCUGUAAGGUUCCAGGGUUCACACAAACUCACUUCAUUUAGAGACAGGAGAGGACACCAGGGUCCUGGCUACUGACCCAGUUCACAUCCUGUGGGCCACAAGUUACUGGUCUCAGACACUCAACACUUUCCAGCUUUCAAGGAGUUCCAGGGUCCUCCUGAAGCCUCUUCUGAUGAGGGAAGUUCACAGAGCAGCAGUGGCUAAAACACCUGAGACCUCGCUCAGCAACAAACCCAGAAAGCCUUGUAAUGGGAUGUCAGAAAAGAAGACCCUGAGUGGUUCAGCAGCAAUGCCCUAGAGUGCCUGAUUUUGCGAGUGGGAGGGAGGUUAUGAGGAGAAAAGAUAUUAUAAUUCAAAAGUUGUACUUUGGAAAUUUAUAUUCACCAAACAAAAGUCAAAAAAAAAAAAAAAAAGAUUGUCCUAACUACAAACACAUAUAUCAUGAGAAAAGAUACACCCAGGGCCGGCGCCAUGGCUCACUUGGUUAAUCGUCUGCCUGCAGUGCUGGCAUCCCAUAUGGGCAUUGAGUUCUAGUCCCAGUUACUACUCUUCCAGGCCAGCUCUCUGCUAUGGCCCUGGAAGGCAGUGGAGGAUGGCCCAAGUGCUUGGGCCCUGCACCCACAUGGGAGACCAGGAGGAAGCACCUGGCUCCUAGCUUUGGAUCAGUGAAGCACCAGCUGUAGCGGCCAUUUGGGGAGUGAAGCAGCAGAAGGAGGACCUUUCUCUCUGUCUCUCUCUCUCUCUCUCACUGUCUAUAACUCUGUAAAAAUAAAAAAAAAAAAAGAAAACAUACAUCCAAUAAAAAAUCACUCCUUUUUGUCAUUGUUGUUAAGCUUUAUUUAUUUAUUUAAAGGCAGAGUGACAGAGAGAGAAGGAGAGAAAGAGAGACAUUUUCCAACUGAUGUUUCAGUCCCCUAAAAGCUUGGGCUGGGUCUGGCCAAAGCCAGAAGUCAGGAACUCCAUCUAGGUCUUCUACAUGGGUAGUAGGGAUCGAAGAUCUUGAGCCAUUGUCUGCUGCCUUCUGAGGUGUGUUAGCAGAAGACUGGAUUGGAAGUGAAAUAGCCAGGAUUCAGACAGGUACUCUGGCAAGGGAUGUGGGCAUUGCAAGCAGUGGCUUCAUCCACAGCACCACAAUGCCCACCUCUAUCAGGGUUUCUCACUUCAUGAUAUCGUAUGUGAAACUUAUGCCUACCUCAGUGGCCAUAAAUCACUAAUUACAGAAUAGAUAAUCAUGUUUUCAACCUUUGUGUUAAUAUUUUGUGUUCACAUUAUAAUAAACAAUCAGCUAAUUUGUGCUAGCUUUGUCUUAAGGAUUGGAGGUAUAUCAAUCCUAGCGUGAAUGAAGCUGAUAUUUAAUUGGGAAGAGAAGGAUAAAUUAGGACAUGUGACACACACAAUGCACAUAAUAUCACCUUGUGUAAGGAGGUAAUAAAUGCUAUAGAUAAAAAGAAAAAAAGGAAGAAAGAGAGAAAAUUGCAAAAAGAAGUGCAACUUUCAAGUGUGGCCAGAACAAUUACUAUGAGAUAGGUCUUUGAUUCGUUCGUUCUUUUCGCCUUCUGUUUUUCUUUUCUUCUUUUUUUUUCUUUUACUGCUGCUGUUGUUUACUCUUUUUGUUUGGUUUCAAAAUUUGAAGGAAAACAAGGAAUCAUGCAUACUGUCAUUGGCAAAUGGCUUCCCCUCAAAGAGAAACAAUAUGUGAAGAGCUGUGAUGAUACCUCACGUGUUAGAGGAAGAGCCAAGGGUCAGCGUGACACAUGGACCUGCAUAGUCUCUGUUGAUCUCCUGGGCUUCCUGUUGUGAAUUUCUCAUGGCUCUAUCUCUGAGGGCUACACUGGGAGCGUCAGUGUAGACAGAAUGGCAAUGGGAUGCUACAUCCUCUGGAAGACGGAGCUUCCUGUCAGGGUCUGGAGGUAACAUCAGUGAGUCUCGCUCUGCUGGCAGUGUUAAUUUCAAGCUCUGUUAAAUACAUGAAAUAAUAAGUGUAUGAUAUCUUAUUCAGAACAAAAUUACAACACCAUUAACUGCUUUACCAGCAGUGAAUAAAUUACCCUCUGACAUGUAGUUUGCAUUGGUCAAGCAAAAAGAAGGUGCGGGAGGAAAUGGAGGUUCGGAUUUGCUUCUUGCUAUUUCCCUCAGCCUCUGUUCCCCUGUCUUCCUUGCCUCUGGUCCCUGAGACAAACAGCCUUGUCCUGUCUGAGUCUUCCCUCACCCAGCCUAUCACUACUCACUACUGGUCCAUGGACUCACUCUUGCCGAUUUGGGAGGUUCUCUCACUUUAGCCUUCUCCAUCAAUCAGAGGGCUGGCCCAAGUCGGGAUGACUCAGCCCCAGGAAUUUCCCAUUCUUGAGCCCCGUUUCUGAGGGAUGUAGAUGUUUCUGGCUGAGUGUUCUCUUUCAAAUUCAAUUUUCUAACCCAGAGAGACUGUGGCUCAGAAGGGCUUACAGAUCAGAUCCAUUUCCAGCUGUUUGUUUUGGAUCCCUUGUUCCAAUCUUUGGACUGAGGAAGUGCCAUGGAAAAAAUGACUCCAAUUUAAUAACCCUUUGUCUAACAUCAUGUCGGCCUUUUACUUUUAUACUUCCAAACCUUGUUGCCUAUUCACAAAGCACUCAUCACUUGCCUGGUUAUGAAUAUAAUAUGUGAUAUUUACACUCCUACUCCUAUUGGGAAACCAUCAGAAAAGUAAAACAGGCAUCAGGCUGAGAAGGCACAAAGAUCUGGAGUGAAAAUCUGUGUGAGUGUUGCCUCUUCUUUGCUUCAUUAUCUUAAAAGUCAAGCUAAACUAUCCUAAGCCUGCAGAGCUGUCAUGAGGAUGGCAUAAUGUGAGCGCUCUCAACGCUAGGGCCACAGCAGAACUUCGCAGAAGGUUUGUUGAAGCACAGAUUUCCUGGCCUUACCCCCCAGAAGUUCUGAUUCCAGGUUUGGACAGGUGCUUAAGAACAGGUACCCAGCAGUGAUGCCACUGAGCACAUCUUGAAAGUCACCAAACUAUUGAAAAACAAAGGCUUACAAAGGUGUAGCCACCUGUGGGUAGUCAGAAUGCUCUCUCACUCCUACCUUUGUAUUCUCGCAUAUUCUUGAAUAGAUCCACAAGAGCUCUCUUGCUCCAAAGCCUGUUUAAUCUGAUGUGUCUAACUUUGGCACUCACAUCGACCAGUUCAUAUGUCUGUUCUGUGCUUAGUUUUUUACUGUCUGAACUAAUCAGUUUCUAUUGCACCCGAUUUUUUUGGUAAUAUGGCAUCUCUACCCAGAAUUCAGGAUCUUAAUAUCCUCUCUGUUUCUCCAAUUUUCAGCUCCAUUUGGCCUCUCCCCAGAAACUCCCUCCCACAAUUAGUCAUGCAUGUCGCAGCAGUGGAGGUGUGAGACUGGAUUAUUUUCUGCUCCAGGUGAAGGCAGAAGAGCCUCUGAACUCUCCCUGCUCCAGAGCUUUUGAAUUGCAACGUUCUGUUAAAACAAACAGACUAUGUUGAUGCAGACAGCUGUCCCGCCCCCAAACACUUUCAACUUUUGAAAAGCAACAGCAAGAUAAAAGCAGAUCAAAUCUAUUCGGAAAUUUGUCCUUUGGCAAUAAGCCUCUUAUUUCUUACUUGGGAAAGAAGCUUUUGAGCCUCUACUUUCUUUCAUCUCUCUCAGUGCCCACCUACCUCCCCAUACUUGUGGGAGGAGGGAGGCUCUCCCACACCUCUCCUCUGCUGCCCAGCCAAAGGGAUGCAAGAGGCAAAGAUCAGACUCUACUUUUAAGAGAUAAAAGCCAGUGCACUCCAUUUGUAAUGCCUUGCUCUUCUACCUGUGUUUUUACCUAGGGAUCACCAACCACUACAGAAGUGCUUUGCAAAACUCUCUUGCUACUGUACUUAGCUCCAAAUGGAAAAUCAAGUGAGAGCCAUCUGCUGUGUGAUAUUGCACCUCAUCGACCACAAUGGAUUACAGGACAAAGGUAAAGGGCCCAUGUGUUUUCUGGAAUAGCCCCUAUUUCUCUAGAAUACAUUACUUGUUUAAAGAACAAUGAAGGUAAAUUUGAAAAUAUAGUUUCUGAGCAAGAGUGUUCUCUCAGGAAGAGUUCUGGGGGAAAGAAACCUCAGGACCAACUUUAUAUGGUAAAUGAUGAAUGACAGAUCAGGAGACUACUUAAAAACAUCAAUUUUAAAUAGUGCACUAGAACAGAAUUCGCAGCAGGGGAUUAAUAAACUUAAAUACUUUAAGAAUCCAAAACUGGUCAUAGAGUUAAAUAAAGAGCUACAUUUUAAGUGGGGGAAAUUUCAAAGAACAACUGCAAGAAUUCCAUCCUUUUUGUGCAGUGUUUCAAAUGGAGCGAAACGUCCAAUAUGAAACUCCAGUUACUUGGUCACAGUAAGGUUAACGAAAUUCUGGGAGAAGAAUCUGGGAAUUUGAAAUAUCAAGUUCCAAUGCCAGAAUUGUUUCAACCGUCCUCUUUAUUUCUAAAUGUAUCCUCUCACUAGCCUUUGUGUUUCUAUUUUGUAUUAACACAAAUUAACAUUUUUAAGACAGAUAGUAUUCUAAGUGACUCUGUCCUUCUGUAAUUAGAAGUUGAUCAAUCUGCAGGGCUUCUUGUGGACUGCUGAAAUGAAACCAUGCAAAACACAAUUCCUACAGUCAAGCUCUAUUUGCAGGAACCUCAUCCAUCAAAGGAAGUUUGCUGACAUACAUCGACUGCCUGAUUUGGGGCAGGAUAGUGCAUAUAGCGUUUUAUUUCUACUGAACAACAAUGCUGUGUAACAAAUAUCAAAAAUGCAGUCCUCCAAGCUCAGAGAGUUUGAGUGACUUGACUAAGUUUAUACUACUCGCUGGUCAGAAAAUCAAGAUUGGGAUGUAAACCUGACCAGAUCAAAAACCUGUUUUAUCUUUGGUAAUUACUGCAACUGAUGAGAGCAGAGAGGGCUCCACCCCAGCUUCAUAGAAUUUAGUCGUUUGCUGUACAUACAUCAUAGUUUUAUGUAUGUGAUUUAAUAGGACUGAGCAAUUAGAAGGUGGUGUUUGUUCAGCCUGAGCAGUAACUGCUUAGUGACUUGUUAGAUUAAGAAGGUUUAAGUAUGCCUAAGACAGUCAUAGCUUGCAUUGAUUUGGUUUCAAGGGUCAUUUGGCCAAGCUAGUGGUUUCCCACAUCAAUGGAUGUUUUGUUUGUUUAACAGGAUGCUAGUGGUGUUUUGUGGGAAGAAGCAAACCUAGCAGAGCAUGUGAGAGUCUUUGAGAAUUAAUUUCUCUGAAUUCUGCAUCAUUUUCAAAAACCUUAUUGGACAUUAAUGCAGUAGGAAAAACUUCUCGAAAAAUGUUGACCCUGGAAUCAAAUUUCAUUUUAUAUUAAACUAAAAAACGUGUUUUAGCUGAGGUUUAAUAUUACUGAAAUUUCCACAAAUGCAACUAGCUUGUAAAUUGAGACCCAAUUUUACCUUUUUUGUUAAGAACGCUGCCAAGAAUUGUUCACUGUAUUGGAAAAGCACAUCAUGAGCAGCCAUGCUGUAAUAUUUGAAUUGCUAAUAAAAUAGAUCUGUUUCAGCAUUUUCCAUAGCUGUUGCUUCAUCACAAUUCCAUGUAGAGAUGCAAGCAUUUAUUUCUUCGUGCCUUCUGCUAUGGACCUGUGUGGUAGUUUACAUAAUGAAAAGCAUAUUGUUUUAUUAUAAAUUCCUUUCCUUUUGUUUCUCCAUUAUAUUAUUCUUGGAGAAAUAUUUCUGGAAAUUUUUAUAUGAAUAAGUUAGUUUAUCAAUUAUUCCAGUUCAAAAUAGUAAAAGGAUGUCAUGAAACAUUGAUUACAAAAGGGUACACUGGGUCAUUAUAGAGUUGAAAGAGACUGGGCUAAGCUCUCAUUGCCUACCUGAGCUAUUUGACCUUUGGCUUUGUUAGUAUUCCAAACCUCCUCCUAAAAUUUUUAAGCUGACUUAGAUCUUCCUCCCUUAGGUUUGGAUAGUCUUUAUUUUCUUUGUUUAAAAAGGAAAUGAUAUAUUCGUGUUUCCAAUAAAGCUGUAAUCCACAUAAUUCUGUCAGAAGGUAAUAUUGUCACAAGCUAAAACACAUAUUAAAACACCAGGCAAAGAUUAGGAAGCCGGACAAAGCCAAGUGUUUACAAUAACAGAGAAUAUAAAAACUUCCCAUGAGUACUACUGUUGGUAUGAGCUGAUGGUCACAUUGAACAUAAGCAUAUAUUUUGAUUUUGUUUACAUAGGAUCACAUUUGUGACACCCACUCAGAAGUGGUGUCCUAUCUAAACAAGGGUGCCCUAUAUAAACAAUUCAAAUAAAUUUUCACAUAGGUGAAUAACGAAUAUAAACAAAAAUAUCCUUUUCAACAUAAAGUCCAGAAGUAAGAACUGGGAGCAACAUGCACGGCCAGUCCCAGGAGAGUGGACAAGUGAAAAUCUGGAGUUUUAUACAGUAGACUAAAGCACUGGAUUCAAUAUAUUCAUAGAAACCUGGAGGAAACUUAAAUCUAAUUGACUAAUUAAAACAUCACAGGAAAACAUGCUAUAUAACAAUAUAUAGCUUAUAUAUUAAAAAUAUGUAAUCAAAGAUACAUUUUGCAAUAAUAUAUAACAAAAAUACAUAUUAGGCAUAUUUAAAGGAUUGACUAUACAGAUAAGUAGAGUGAUAAUGUAGCAUUAGGCUAAAAAGCAAUAAAGAAUUAAUUUUUUAGUGAUUCUUAUAAUCUAUGCAACCAAAUGCAAUUUCAAAAUUACAAGUCUUUUACUUGUGUUUCUUCAGAGAAAAGAUAAUGUCACAGUAGAACCAAAAAUCCUCUCUGUGAGCAUUCAGUAAUCAGACUACUUUCUCCUUAACAUUGAGCUGACCUGUACUAAGUGUCCAAUAAGAAGUUCUUACAGGGAGUAUAGCUUUACCCAGGCUGCCUUCUUCCUCAGUGUCCCUGUAAAUUUCCCUACCAGCUGUGGUUUUCAAAUAGCCUUUCUGACCUCCUUCCAUCCUUAUUUUCACCCUCUCCACCAUUGUAAAAGUUUGAGUCAAUUUAACAACACAGGAGCCAAGUUGGAGGGUGGAGGAAGGGAAAGACCUAUUGCAAGACAAACCUGGGUUCCGUUUAGGAUCUCAAGGGAGACAGCUAGGAACAACCUCCCCAUAAACACUCAGGCUGGUAUCAAGUGUCCCAGGAGGCUGUGUGGAUUCCCACAACCUUGCCUGCACACAGAGUACGAUUCAGUCCCUAGCAGAAAUAACCUAAAAAGACAGGUCAAAAACAGGGCGAUCUGGCUCUUAAAAUCAAUCCUUAAAAAAAAAAAAAAUCUGAAUUUUUUUGUAUGGUCAACUAGUUAUAAAACUGUUAUUAUUAUAGAGGAAAUUAUCUAUCAAAAUAAAAGGAAUUGUUUUGACUUAGAUAUUCAAUGCCCAUUUUGGGACAAAGAGUUUUCAGCAAAGCUUACCUUCAAUUGAAUAAGCACUGUCUAAAGGCUGCCCAUUCUCCUUUAGUUAUACAUGUUGACCAAAAAUUCAAUUUUAGAGGCCCUGAGAUGAAAAUGGAAGAUCCUUGAAUAUGGAGGUAAAUAUUCUAGUAACUGUAAAGGAAUAACCCAAUUAUAAAAGAUAGUACUGGUAUGUAGUUUAUGUGGAAGAGCCAUGGAAAUUUGCUUUCCAUGUGUACAUUAAUCUAACCAUCACUUGCUUUUAUAAAAUCAAUUCAUGAAACUGUGUAAUUGGAAUGUGGAACCCAACCAAAAGUGAGCCUAUGUCUCUGGUCAACUUCCCUUUCAAGAUACCAUCUUGUCCUUUCUUAUUCCUUUCAUGGUAGCUCAAUGGAAUAUCUGUCAUGAAGCAUUGUUGUUUAGAGGCAUUGGUGGAAACAGUUUAUAUGUUAAAAAGCAGCAUUCCCUGUGUAUCAGUUUCUUUACUUGGAAGGAUCAUUGAACUCUACCAUGUACUCUGCCAUACCUAGCAUAUUAUUAUGUAGUCACAUAAAUGUGAAAUGAAUUAAAACCAGUAAGACCACAAGACUUGUAACUUCUACUCUGUAGCAUGUCCAACAC